CAGUCGCCGCGGGAAUACGUAGGUGGCAAGCGUUGUCCGGAAUUAUUGGGCGUAAAGGGCUCGCAGGCGGUUUCUUAAGUCUGAUGUGAAAGCCCCCGGCUCAACCGGGGAGGGUCAUUGGAAACUGGAAACUUGAGUGCAGAAGAGGAGAGUGGAACUCCACGUGUAGCGGUGAAAUGCGUAGAGAUGUGGAGGGACACCAGUGGCGAAGGCGACUCUCUGGUCUGUAACUGACGCUGAGGAGCGAAAGCGUGGGGAGCGAACAGGAUUAGAUACCCGCGUAGUCCCUGUCUCUUAUACA
rnacentral:rRNA from 1 species